rnacentral:rRNA from 1 species
CUCAGUAACACGUAGUCAACCUGCCCUGGAGACAUGGACAACCCCGGGAAACUGGGAUUAAUCCGUGAUAGGUCAUCUCAUCUGGAAGGAGAGAUGGCUUAAAGGGAUGCGCGGGCUUCUUCUGCGUAUUUGCUCCAGGAUGGGACUGCGUCCGAUCAGGCUGUUGGCGGGGUAAUGGCCCACCAAGCCAGUAACCGGUACGGGCCUUGAGAGAGGUGGCCCGGAGAUGGACACUGAGAGAAGGGUCCAGGUCCUACGGGGCGCAGCAGGCGCGAAACCUUCGCAAUGCGCGCAAGCGUGACGAGGUUAAUCCGAGUGAUUUCCGCUGAGGAGACCUUUUGUCUGCUGUAAAUAGACAGGCGAAUAAGGGGAGGGCAAGCCUGGUGUCAGCCGCCGCGGUAAUACCAGCUCCUCGAGUGGUCGGGGCGAUUAUUGGGCCUAAAGCAUCCGUAGCCGGUUCCGUAGGUCCUCUGUUAAAUCCAACCGCCCAACGGUUGACCUGCAGAGGAUACCGCGAGACUAGGAGGCGGGAGAGGCGGACGGUACUCCGCGUGUAGGGGUAAAAUCCUUUGAUCCGCGGAAGA